CGGGUUGAUGCAGAGUCUGACGGAGCACGCCGCGUGAACGAAGAAGGCCUUCGGGUCGUAAAGUUCUGUUGUUAGGGAAGAACAAGUACCAGAGUAACUGCUGGUACCUUGACGGUACCUAACCAGAAAGCCACGGCUAACUACGUGCCAGCAGCCGCGGUAAUACGUAGGUGGCAAGCGUUGUCCGGAAUUAUUGGGCGUAAAGCGCGCGCAGGUGGUUCYUUAAGUCUGAUGUGAAAGCCCACGGCUCAACCGUGGAGGGUCAUUGGAAACUGGGGAACUUGAGUGCAGAAGAGGAAAGUGGAAUUCCAAGUGUAGCGGUGAAAUGCGUAGAGAUUUGGAGGAACACCAGUGGCGAAGGCGACUUUCUGGUCUGUAACUGACACUGAGGCGCGAAAGCGUGGGGAGCAAACAGGAUUAGAUACCCUGGUAGUCCACGCCGUAAACGAUGAGUGCUAAGUGUUAGAGGGUUUCCGCCCUUUAGUGCUGCAGCUAACGCAUUAAGCACUCCGCCUGGGGAGUACGGCCGCAAGGCUGAAACUCAAAGAAAUUUGGACGGA
rnacentral:rRNA from 2 species